AAGCUACUUCCACGCGAACCACAAGGAAACUUUCCAGCAGCAUCUUUCCAUUUUCCAUUAUCAUUCCUUCUGCACUAAAACUAAAUAACUCAAAAAGAUGAUAAUGGAAAAUACCAUGCUUCAAACUUCCACUCCAUUGUUUUUUUAAUUUUGGUACAACAUCAUUUUUAACUUCAAUUAUAUUAAAUUAUUCAACAUGUUCACAAACCAACCCCAAACAAUACAUUAGCAAUGUACAUAAAACUACACCCCCGUGGGGAUCAAAUCACACAAUAGAUAAAGACUCUCAGCAACAACAAAGAACGAACAGUUUUUAACUAUGGUCCACAACCAUGUCACAACCACAAUUGCAGCAACAUUUUUCCACGAGUAUGGUAAAUGCAACAUAAUAGGACACUAAUUGAAAGCUCUAUAAUGUUGCUUCAGAAAUCAAUCUUGAGGAUUAGAUAUCAGCCAGGAGAGUAUUCAUUUUUUUUAUGAUGAUUGAUAAUAAAAGUUUAGAAUAUUCUUUCUCUCUGUCAAUUUCUCUACAUAGAUUUUCCUAAACCCAUAUCUAUCACAAAGACACUACAGAAAAUAGACUAUAAUGGGAAAACAAUAAUCAACAAAAUAAGCAUAAAAAUCACAAAAAAUGAAAACAUUAAUACAAAAUAUUAAAUUCCUACAUUUAUUUUUAAACAACAUAGAAGCAGAAAAAAACACAAAAUUCAUUCUAAAAUCCCCAAAUUUCGGCACGUUACUAAUUUCAUUUUAAAAAUUGAAAGAAUAACCAAGCAAAAAGUGAAAAGGACCUUGAAGCAAUUUGUGAAGGGGAUUGAAAUCGGAGUGGAAUGUUGAAGAGAGUGAAAUGGUGCGUUGCAGAGUGUGAAUUAGGUUAUUGAUGUCACGCUUGUGUUGCAAUAGCUUAACGACGUCGUUGGUGUAAGAGAUGAGGUUUCCCACGUCCAUGUUUGUUGACAACAAUUCCCCAUUUGUCCAAUAACUUUCCGAGGGAGGAAACUUUUCCUCUAUUUCAUAGUCAUACUAGUAGGAGACCCAUGUGAUUCUUUUGCAUAAAUUUAAGAAUUAUGUGACUAAACAUAGAUGGAAAAUAACAUGGAGAAUGUGACUAAAGA
rnacentral:lncRNA from 1 species